GGGUUGUGAGGUUAAGCGACUAAGCGUACACGGUGGAUGCCCUGGCAGUCAGAGGCGAUGAAGGGCGUGCUAAUCUGCGAUAAGCGCCGGUAAGGUGAUAUGAACCGUUAUAACCGGCGAUACCCGAAUGGGGAAACCCAGUGUGACUCGUCACACUAUCAUUAACUGAAUCCAUAGGUUAAUGAGGCGAACCGGGGGAACUGAAACAUCUAAGUACCCCGAGGAAAAGAAAUCAACCGAGAUUCCCCCAGUAGCGGCGAGCGAACGGGGAGGAGCCCAGAGCCUGAAUCAGCAUGUGUGUUAGUGGAAGCGUCUGGAAAGGCGCGCGAUACAGGGUGACAGCCCCGUACACAAAAGCGCAUGUGCUGUGAGCUCGAUGAGUAGGGCGGGACACGUGGUAUCCUGUCUGAAUAUGGGGGGACCAUCCUCCAAGGCUAAAUACUCCUGACUGACCGAUAGUGAACCAGUACCGUGAGGGAAAGGCGAAAAGAACCCCGGCGAGGGGAGUGAAAAAGAACCUGAAACCGUGUACGUACAAGCAGUGGGAGCCCCACCACUAAGCCAGUGGUGAACUCCACAUACGCAUCCUUUGCUGAGGAUACGGUUAACGGAGCGAAAGCGACGUUCAACCUCAAAAGAAGCAGAGGGGGCUUAGUGGUGGGGUGACUGCGUACCUUUUGUAUAAUGGGUCAGCGACUUAUAUUCUGUAGCAAGGUUAACCGAAUAGGGGAGCCGGAGGGAAACCGAGUCUUAAUUGGGCGUUAAGUUGCAGGGUAUAGACCCGAAACCCGGUGAUCUAGCCAUGGGCAGGUUGAAGGUUGGGUAACACUAACUGGAGGACCGAACCGACUAAUGUUGAAAAAUUAGCGGAUGACCUGUGGCUGGGGGUGAAAGGCCAAUCAAACCGGGAGAUAGCUGGUUCUCCCCGAAAGCUAUUUAGGUAGCGCCUCGUGAACUCAUCUCCGGGGGUAGAGCACUGUUUCGGCUAGGGGGCCAUCCCGGCUUACCAACCCGAUGCAAACUGCGAAUACCGGAGAAUGUUAUCACGGGAGACACACGGCGGGUGCUAACGUCCGUCGUGAAGAGGGAAACAACCCAGACCGCCAGCUAAGGUCCCAAAGUCAUGGUUAAGUGGGAAACGAUGUGGGAAGGCCCAGACAGCCAGGAUGUUGGCUUAGAAGCAGCCAUCAUUUAAAGAAAGCGUAAUAGCUCACUGGUCGAGUCGGCCUGCGCGGAAGAUGUAACGGGGCUAAACCAUGCACCGAAGCUGCGGCAGCGACGCUGAUGCGUUGUUGGGUAGGGGAGCGUUCUGUAAGCCUGCGAAGGUGGCCUGUGAGGGUUGCUGGAGGUAUCAGAAGUGCGAAUGCUGACAUAAGUAACGAUAAAGCGGGUGAAAAGCCCGCUCGCCGGAAGACCAAGGGUUCCUGUCCAACGUUAAUCGGGGCAGGGUGAGUCGACCCCUAAGGCGAGGCCGAAAGGCGUAGUCGAUGGGAAACGGGUUAAUAUUCCCGUACUUGGUGUUACUGCGAAGGGGGGACGGAGAAGGCUAUGUUGGCCGGGCGACGGUUGUCCCGGUUUAAGCGUGUAGGCUGGUUUUCCAGGCAAAUCCGGAAAAUCAAGGCUGAGGCGUGAUGACGAGGCACUACGGUGCUGAAGCAACAAAUGCCCUGCUUCCAGGAAAAGCCUCUAAGCAUCAGGUAACAUCAAAUCGUACCCCAAACCGACACAGGUGGUCAGGUAGAGAAUACCAAGGCGCUUGAGAGAACUCGGGUGAAGGAACUAGGCAAAAUGGUGCCGUAACUUCGGGAGAAGGCACGCUGACACGUAGGUGAAGUGAUUUACUCACGGAGCUGAAGUCAGUCGAAGAUACCAGCUGGCUGCAACUGUUUAUUAAAAACACAGCACUGUGCAAACACGAAAGUGGACGUAUACGGUGUGACGCCUGCCCGGUGCCGGAAGGUUAAUUGAUGGGGUCAGCGCAAGCGAAGCUCCUGAUCGAAGCCCCGGUAAACGGCGGCCGUAACUAUAACGGUCCUAAGGUAGCGAAAUUCCUUGUCGGGUAAGUUCCGACCUGCACGAAUGGCGUAAUGAUGGCCAGGCUGUCUCCACCCGAGACUCAGUGAAAUUGAACUCGCUGUGAAGAUGCAGUGUACCCGCGGCAAGACGGAAAGACCCCGUGAACCUUUACUAUAGCUUGACACUGAACAUUGAGCCUUGAUGUGUAGGAUAGGUGGGAGGCUUUGAAGUGUGGACGCCAGUCUGCAUGGAGCCGACCUUGAAAUACCACCCUUUAAUGUUUGAUGUUCUAACGUGGACCCGUUACCCGGGUUGCGGACAGUGUCUGGUGGGUAGUUUGACUGGGGCGGUCUCCUCCUAAAGAGUAACGGAGGAGCACGAAGGUUGGCUAAUCCUGGUCGGACAUCAGGAGGUUAGUGCAAUGGCAUAAGCCAGCUUGACUGCGAGCGUGACGGCGCGAGCAGGUGCGAAAGCAGGUCAUAGUGAUCCGGUGGUUCUGAAUGGAAGGGCCAUCGCUCAACGGAUAAAAGGUACUCCGGGGAUAACAGGCUGAUACCGCCCAAGAGUUCAUAUCGACGGCGGUGUUUGGCACCUCGAUGUCGGCUCAUCACAUCCUGGGGCUGAAGUAGGUCCCAAGGGUAUGGCUGUUCGCCAUUUAAAGUGGUACGCGAGCUGGGUUUAGAACGUCGUGAGACAGUUCGGUCCCUAUCUGCCGUGGGCGCUGGAGAACUGAGGGGGGCUGCUCCUAGUACGAGAGGACCGGAGUGGACGCAUCACUGGUGUUCGGGUUGUCAUGCCAAUGGCACUGCCCGGUAGCUAAAUGCGGAAGAGAUAAGUGCUGAAAGCAUCUAAGCACGAAACUUGCCCCGAGAUGAGUUCUCCCUGAGACUUUAGGUCUCCUGAAGGAACGUUGAAGACGACGACGUUGAUAGGCCGGGUGUGUAAGCGCAGCGAUGCGUUGAGCUAACCGGUACUAAUGAACCGUGAGGCUUAACCUUACAACGCCGAAG
rnacentral:rRNA from 1 species